UUACGGUCAAAUCACGCUGAAACACCGGUUCUCGUUCGAUCACCGAAGUUAAGCAUCGUAGAGCCAGGUUAGUACUUAGAUGGGGGACCGCUUGGGAACUCCUGGUACUGUAAGC